GAGGCCCAGCGGCCCGAGACCAACUGGGCUGACCGAGGCCGCCUCCCCGCCAGCCCUGGGGUCCACUGCCCGGGGAGCAGCUCCCUUCCCAGGUCAGACUCGGGCUUCAUCCUCUCUUGCCGCGCGCCGAGCGGUUUUCAACUCUCACUGCUAGAAUUCCUCCAACCACCCAGGAUAGCAGGACCGAGAUACAUGGCCACCCAUGACCCGGAGCGUCCACUUCCAGGGACAGGCAGUGGUGAUUGGCUUCGGUUGUCAUCUGUGCCAUCUGUCCAUGGUUCGAGAAGCUGCUGUUCACGUUUUGGGGAGGAUCAUGGUUUGAGGGCUCCCGUGGUAGAAUUUGGGGAGCUCUCAUAGGCAGAAGGCUGAGAAAAGUUGGUGCUGUGGGAAGUCAACUGGCAGCCGAUGGAGUCGGGACCCGGGAGGAAUGGAAAGGGAACCCAGAUAGGAAGCUACUGCAGUAGGCUCAGAGAGGUGAUGACGGCAGGGCUAAGACAGCGGCCUUGGGCGGUGACUGGGAAGAACGUUGAACACCGUGUUUGGGCUGAAGAAAAGAGCAAGGGAAGAGAAAGCCAUUGCAAGAACCAGUGGAAUUUAAAGAUGGAUCAAAUUCCUGGGGAGUUGGAUCACUGGAUGCAUAAGGAAAUCCAAACUAAUAAGGAAAAAGUGAAAUAUUCAUUCCUUAGUUAUUGUUAUCUAUAAUAGCUAAAAUUAAAGUAAGAGUGCUGGAUUAAGCCUUGAGGCUGGACCAAGCUCAGAUGUGGGUCUGAGUUUAGAUCACUAGCCUCAAAGCCACCCACAAAAGAGGUAGUUUCUGGUGCCUCUUAGACCUGUGGUUUCCAAGAAGGUAGUCAAGGUAGGGAAGGGCAAAACGAAGUAACUACUGAAGCCAAAUGGUGUGAUGUGAAGGAAGUGUUCCCUUUUGUAGACUGGUAUCAUCAGCUUCCUUGAGGCACCUUUCCUAAUAAUGGAUUGUGAGAAUAACUAA
rnacentral:lncRNA from 1 species